GCUUGCUCUCCGGAUCAGUGGCGAACGGGUGAGUAACACGUGAGCAAUCUGCCCCUGACUCUGGGAUAAGCGCUGGAAACGGCGUCUAAUACCGGAUACGAGCUGCGAAGGCAUCUUCAGCAGCUGGAAAGAACUUCGGUCAGGGAUGAGCUCGCGGCCUAUCAGCUAGUUGGUGAGGUAAUGGCUCACCAAGGCGUCGACGGGUAGCCGGCCUGAGAGGGUGACCGGCCACACUGGGACUGAGACACGGCCCAGACUCCUACGGGAGGCAGCAGUGGGGAAUAUUGCACAAUGGGCGCAAGCCUGAUGCAGCAACGCCGCGUGAGGGACGACGGCCUUCGGGUUGUAAACCUCUUUUAGCAGGGAAGAAGCGAAAGUGACGGUACCUGCAGAAAAAGCGCCGGCUAACUACGUGCCAGCAGCCGCGGUAAUACGUAGGGCGCAAGCGUUAUCCGGAAUUAUUGGGCGUAAAGAGCUCGUAGGCGGUUUGUCGCGUCUGCUGUGAAAACCCGAGGCUCAACCUCGGGCCUGCAGUGGGUACGGGCAGACUAGAGUGCGGUAGGGGAGAUUGGAAUUCCUGGUGUAGCGGUGGAAUGCGCAGAUAUCAGGAGGAACACCGAUGGCGAAGGCAGAUCUCUGGGCCGUAACUGACGCUGA
rnacentral:rRNA from 1 species